CCCAGGGAUGUAGCUCCUAGUGC
rnacentral:miRNA from 2 species